rnacentral:rRNA from 1 species
AGAGUUUGAUCAUGGCUCAGAACGAACGCUGGCGGCGUGCCUGACACAUGCAAGUCGAACGAGACCAUAAUAAUUGGCCCUUCGGGAGAAGGAAUAAAUGGAAGACGGCCGAGGGAGGAGUCACCCGUGCGGGAGACGCCCCUCUCGGGAGAAAACAAUUCCGCGAACGCGGAAUAAUCAGGGGCAAAUACUCUGGGGCGUAAGCCUUUAGAGAGCAAAGCUUUCGCGAGCAAGAGGACGAGCUCUGGAGGCAAUAACUUGCGGCCUAUUAGCUAGGGCGUACCAAGGAUGGGCAUAGGGAGGGCGGCUUGAGAGGCCGGCUUGAAAGGUGGGAACGGAAACCUGGGCACAGACUCCUACGGGAGGACUC